AUUGAACGCUGGCGGCAGGCCUAACACAUGCAAGUCGAGCGGAUGAAGGGAGCUUGCUCCUGGAUUCAGCGGCGGACGGGUGAGUAAUGCCUAGGAAUCUGCCUGGUAGUGGGGGAUAACGUCCGGAAACGGGCGCUAAUACCGCAUACGUCCUGAGGGAGAAAGUGGGGGAUCUUCGGACCUCACGCUAUCAGAUGAGCCUAGGUCGGAUUAGCUAGUUGGUUGGGUAAAGGCCUACCAAGGCGACGAUCCGUAACUGGUCUGAGAGGAUGAUCAGUCACACUGGAACUGAGACACGGUCCAGGCUCCUACGGGAGGCAGCAGUGGGGAAUAUUGGACAAUGGGCGAAAGCCUGAUCCAGCCAUGCCGCGUGUGUGAAGAAGGUCUUCGGAUUGUAAAGCACUUUAAGUUGGGAGGAAGGGCAGUAAGUUAAUACCUUGCUGUUUUGACGUUACCAACAGAAUAAGCACCGGCUAACUUCGUG
rnacentral:rRNA from 1 species